GGAAUAUUGGACAAUGGGCGCAAGCCUGAUCCAGCCACGCCGCGUGAGUGAUGAAGGCCUUCGGGCCGUAACGCUCUGUGGGGAGGGACGAACCGCUGCCGGUUCAUAUCCUGCAGCAUGAAGGUACCUCCUUCGCAAGCACCGGCUAACUUCGUGCCAGCAGCCGCGGUAAUACGAAGGGUGCAAACGUUGCUCGGAAUUAUUGGGCGUAAAGCGCACGUAGGCGGCUUUGCAAGUCGGAUGUGAAAGCCCUCGGCUCAACCGAGGAAGUGCAUCCGAAACUGCAGAGCUUGAGUACUUAAGAGGAUCGCGGAAUUCCCGGUGUAGAGGUGAAAUUCGUAGAUAUCGGGAGGAACACCAGUGGCGAAGGCGGCGAUCCGGGAAGAUACUGACGCUGAGGUGCGAAAGCGUGGGGAGCAAAC
rnacentral:rRNA from 1 species